GAGAGAAUGUUUAAAAUGUCAAUCCCCUUUUCCCCUUUUUCUAUUGCUUGGUGCGGUCUAAGUAGAGCUACACAUGUAAUAUUCUGAUUUGCAUUGCAGCUCUCUGUUUUAUUUCUUGUGAGAAACAGCUAAAUUCUGGGUGACUUUCACUGCAGCCUUACACAAUGAGGUGUGAAUCGCACCAGAACCAUGUGUGAUGUAGCAGAACCAUACAUUCCACAGAUUCCCUUUCACAAAAGUGAGUUCUAGUUGUCCCUGACCUGCUAAUACCUGAUUUGAAAACCAAGACAAGAAAUGAACUCAUGAUGGGAGCAAAGGAUUAGUAUGAAGAUGAGCUGACGUGGUGGCCUAAGAUUACAUCACCUCAGCAGGAUUUCUUUUGCUUGCUAAUUGCCAGCAGUGAAAAUGUACGGAGCCAAAUUGAUGAGGAAGAAAAGGUUUUAAAACCAAAGUGGCUAAAAGAAUUCCAGCCAUUGCAAGCUCUGAAUCACACUUGAGUG
rnacentral:lncRNA from 1 species